GUUUUCAGUUUGCAUAUGAGCCCAAGGAAUGCUAACUUACAAGCAAAGAAGAACAUCUGGAAAGCUGCUCAGGAGGAGGACAAAGGCUGGGAUGACAUCUGUUGCAAAGCAUUACCGAGAGCCUUCGGCAUACUUGUCAACCGAUGGUUCAAGUGUGAUUACUUGAGUAAUGAUGGUCUUGAUUUAUGGCUACCUAAUGGGUAGAUCUAUUUUAUAACACUGUCUUUCCAUAAUUUUUCACAGGUGGAAAGAAGUGCAAAUGCAUUGGCUACUUUUGGUAUGAUCUCUUAUUGUUUUUGUUGGAUGUGUAUCCUAGAAAGCCAAUUAUUGGCUGACACAUUAUAAUUUCAGGACUUAUAUUUAUACUUAUAAAAUUUUAUUAUUAAUAAAAGGACUUCUUAUUU